rnacentral:tRNA from 1 species
GCAGGGGUGGCAGAGUGGUCAAAUGCACUGGACUGUAAAUCCAGCGCCUUCGGGCUACACAGGUUCAAAUCCUGUCCCCUGCACCA